rfam:Anopheles culicifacies strain species A-37_1 cont1.16134, whole genome shotgun sequence.
GGAGGGGUUUAGUGGGUAGGCGUCGGCUUUCAGUGGCCGAUGAAUCCCACACUGCUUGGGCUAUUAGCCAGUUGGUUGGUUGUCUAAGUGUCUUCCGAAGAUUCCCCUCCC